GAAACAGUUGCUAAGACUGGAUAGGAAAUAAAAAGGCAUCUUUUUAUUUUUAAAAGACCUUUUUCGGAAGGUAUGCUUAAAGAGGGGCUUGCGUCACAUUAGUUAGUUGGCAGGGUAAAGGCCUACCAAGACUAUGAUGUGUAGCUGGACUGAGAGGUUGAACAGCCACAUUGGGACUGAGACACGGCCCAAACUCCUACGGGAGGCAGCAGUAGGGAAUUUUCGGCAAUGGAGGAAACUCUGACCGAGCAACGCCGCGUGAACGAUGAAGUAUUUCGGUAUGUAAAGUUCUUUUAUUGAAGAAGAAAAAAUAGUGGAAAAACUAUCUUGACGAUAUUCAAUGAAUAAGCCCCGGCAAACUAUGUGCCAGCAGCCGCGGUAAUACAUAGGGGGCGAGCGUUAUCCGGAAUUAUUGGGCGUAAAGGGUGCGUAGGCGGUUUAAUAAGUCUAUAGUUUAAUUUCAGUGCUUAACACUGUCCUGCUAUAGAAACUAUUAGACUAGAGUGAGAUAGAGGCAAGUGGAAUUCCAUGUGUAGCGGUAAAAUGCGUAAAUAUAUGGAGGAACACCAGAGGCGUAGGCGGCUUGCUGGGUCUUUACUGACGCUGAGGCACGAAAGCGUGGGGAGCAAACAGGAUUAGAUACCCUGGUAGUCCACGCCGUAAACGAUGAGUACUAAGUGUCGGGAUUACUCGGUACUGAAGUUAACACAUUAAGUACUCCGCCUGAGUAGUACGUACGCAAGUAUGAAACUUAAAGGAAUUGACGGGACUCCGCACAAGCGGUGGAUCAUGUUGUUUAAUUCGAAGAUACACGAAAAACCUUACCAGGUCUUGACAUACUCUGCAAAGCUAWAGCAAUAUAGUGGAGGUUAUCAGGGAUACAGGUGGUGCAUGGUUGUCGUCAGCUCGUGUCGUGAGAUGUUAGGUUAAGUCCUAAAACGAGCGCAACCCUUGUCAUUAGUUGCCAGCAUGUCAUGAUGGGCACUUUAAUGAGACUGCCAAUGAAAAAUUGGAGGAAGGUGAGGAUCACGUCAAAUCAUCAUGCCCCUUAUGAUCUGGGCUACAAACGUGAUACAAUGGCUGUUACAAAGAGUAGCUGAAACGCAAGUUUAUAGCCAAUCUCAUAAAAGCAGUCUCAGUUCGGAUUGAAGUCUGCAACUCGACUUCAUGAAGUUGGAAUCGCUAGUAAUCGCGAAUCAGCAUGUCGCGGUGAAUACGUUCUCGGGGUUUGUACACACCGCCCGUCA
rnacentral:rRNA from 1 species